AAUGAAGUGAUAUAUUUAAUUAUUGCACCCUUAAAUAAUAUUUUAUUAAGACAUUAGAGAAUUAUGUUUUGAGUUGUUUUGUCAAAAUUGUACAAAAAUCUAUGAUUUUUCAUAUUUGUCACGAAAAUUUAUAUGUUAACUUACUUUUACAAAAUUCUAAAUUUGCCACGAAAACAAAAAUUUAUGUUUUUUUCAUAUUUGUCAAUGUUUCACUCUUUCAUAGAAUAUAUUUGCUUAGUCACUUACUUAUUUUUUUUUACAAAACAAAGUAUCGGAGUCUUGAAAGUUGAAUUCAUAUUAUUGUACUUGUACAUAAGAGUUUGUGAUUACAUACUUAGUGAUUCAUGAAUGUGUUCAAGAAAGUUUCAAUGGCUUAGUGGUAACUGCUCUAUAUUUAUGUCAUACUAACCCGGGUUCGAUCCUCGUUUUCGCAUUUUUUUUUCAUUUUUUACGAAAAAAUAAAUGAGAUGACGUGGCAACUUUGGGUUCUCUGAUUGGUUGAUUUUUCUAUCAUACGUGGACACCCUGUCCAUGGCUUAUAUUUGCCUUUUAGUAUAGUAUAGAUGUUAUUUUUUACUUCUAUAUUUAAUGGUAAAAAUAGUACAUUUUUAUAUUUUACUUUAUAAAUAGAAAAACUCUAUUAUAAAGGCAUACAUUGGAGCAAAUCCACUUUUAUAAUAGAAAUUUUUUAUUUUAGAAGAAAAUAUAGAAAUGAAUCUAGAGGUGAGUUGGAAAUAGUCUUAGAUAAUUGAUAUAUCAAACCCAAUCGACAGAGCGAAGAGGAAAGAGAACUAUUAAUAAAGUUUUAUUAAAAAAAUAACUCUGGAAAUUUCAAGCUGGAAUUACUAUAAAAAUAAAAUAAAAUAAAAGAAAAGAAAAUUAUUUUGAUGCAAAAAUGGAAAUUCAGAGAAAAAAGAAAGAAAGAGAAGGCUAGAAACAGAGGAGGCGUUACGUAGUGGAAUUCGAAGAGCCCAGAGCUGACUGGACGAGCCGUUGACCCUCACCCUAUUGUUACUUGUACUUUUUCGUUGAUACCGACACAUGUGGAGAGCAUGAUGAAAUGAUUGCGUGGCAACAUUCUGAACCUUAGAUGAAAUGAUUACCUGGCAACAUUCUCACCCUAACACCCCAAAACUAGCCCAAUUAAAAUUUUACAAAUCUAAUGGAUUCUCUACAACCCAACUAGAAAACUCUAGGAUUCCUCUUUCCCUCCCCUUAUAAAAGCAAGCUCCCACCCAUUUAUCUCUCAUCAAAAGUUUAAAAGCGAAACCCUGCAAAAAAAUUUCGGAGACCGGAAGCCCUAGCCGUCGACCUCUUCUCUCUCCCUCCCCGCGCCGUCUCUCUUCUCUCUCUCUCUUCGCCGCGCCUCCUUCUCUUCUCUCUCUCUCGGCCGACUCUCUCUCUCUCCUCGCCGUGAACAGCCGCGAGUGGUGGUGGUAGCCGUGUGGUGUCGUUGACCUCAGAUCUCAUCUCUCUUGCCUCUUAUCUCAGAUCCAGAUCCAGAUCUAGGUUAAGGUGAAGUGUUCUACCCAUAUUUCUUCCAUGUCCUUUUAUAUUGUUGAAUGGAGAUCUAGAAUUGAGUAGAUCUGUUUGUUGUUAGGUUGAUAGAAUCAUAUUGCAUCAGAACACUCAUAUUGAUUAAAGACAUUAAAUAAACCGUUUGAAUGAUUGAUUGAUUGUUUGAAGAUCUGUUUGUCUAUGAUUGAGAGUUAGGAUGGAUAGAAAGAAUUAAAUGUAGGAUCUUAGAGUACUGUUAACCGGUAUUGGUUAGAUAAAUGAUAGGAUAUAUGUGAAUGAAUGUUAAAUGGAUUGAGUGUGACACCGAGAAUGGGUGUCGUCUAAAAAGGAAAGUAAGAAAGAGUUUAAAGGUAAAAGAAAAAAUAAAUGAUAAGAAAAAAAAGAAAUAAAAGAAAAAGGAAAGUUAAAUGAAUGAAAUACGAACCACCGAGGAACUGGUGGGAGUAUGAGAAAUUAAUUGAAUGGAAUACGAACCACCGAGGGACUGGUGGGGAGUAUGGAAAAACGCGGCAGCCGUAGCGUUCAAAAACGGCAGGGUAAGAAUAGAGGCGCCGGUAAGAUUGAGUCACGCCGAGUCUUGGCGGGAAGGGGUCGUAAUACACUGCAAGGGGUAUAGACUACAUCCAAGGGAACCGGAUGCCGAGUGUACAAGGGCAGGCGGCUCCACAGGAACGCAUCAAGAAAAGGGGAGGGUUGGUCCGCUUGAGCUGUGUAGGUCCUAGAGUUCUAGGAUGAUUGGAGUCUUAAAUAAUAAACCGAUUUAUGUGAAUUGAGUGAUGACUGAGGUCAUUACAUUACUUGAUUUCGUGAAAUGAAACAUUAAUAGCUAGUUAAGAAUUGGGUGUAGUGACUAGUCGGUUCUCGUUUCGCAUUGAGCAGUAUCGAGGCUCAUGGGGGAGACUGGUCUAGAAUCGCUUCACUGAGUAUUCAUACUCACCCCUCUUUUUCCCUCUCCCUUUUGCAGAACUAUAAGUGGAAGUGUUGAUGGUAAGAAACGAAACACACCUGAAACUCAUGGGACCAGAAACGGGACACACGGAGAUGUCGGGAAAGUAGACAUGUGUGUCCUCAACCCCGCGCCCAGGAACCCCGGUUGAAAAUGGGGAAGGGGCGGGUGUUUCAAUUGGUAUCAGAGCCAGGUUAAGGUCCCUUAAUACUAACUUAAGGGAUCAACGUUUCCGCCAUUGUUCAUUUUCCCCUUAUGGUUCUGAUAGACCCGUCAUAGUCAGUGUUGAAAGAGAAUUUGAACAGCUCAGAGUCUUUGGCCGGGAUCAGAACAACGAAAGUCCUCGUACCGCGGUGUGGUGGAGUUUUAGAGGUCCACGAGGGGAUUAACAAGGAGUUGUAAGACAAGUAUACAGAGGGAUCAGUGGCAUAGCACGACAAGCUAAGGAGGAAUGGAAGGUCGGACAUACGAGCUUGAGGUGAAACGUUUCGUCGGCAACACCACCCCACGCCGGGCCGGGAAGGCUGGGGGAGGAGGGUCGGACGCAAGGUCGAGGCGUGCACAACUUCACGGAAGAGAUAACCCUACAAAGAAAUAGCCUUGUGACAUUCCAAUAUUACAGUGAAGCUUGUUUCCCAGUAAAAAAGGGGGAGACAUGGGCGCGGGCCCCACUUCAUUGGCGUGGGCCCGCCAGCGAGGAAGGAACAAACCGGGGCGGCCAGGGGACUGCCGGCUGGACAAAAGGAGGAAACUGAUUUCAGAUCGCAAUGGCUAAGCUAAGGAUCAUCUUGGGGGUAAAAAGGAUGAUGGUGGAUCGUCAUUAGGCGAGAAUGUAGAUGCUAGUAAGGACGAUGGAGGAUCGUUUUGAAUCAAGAUGCAAUGUACUAAUAAGGAUAUGAGAUCUUCUUGGGGUAAAAAGGCUGAUGGUAAUAAGGAUCAUCGUGGGGUAAAAUGGAUCGUCUUGGGGCAAAAAGGGAUGUUAAGGACCACACCGGGAUAUUAUUUCAUGGAAUGCUUAAGCAGCACUAGACUUGAGAAAUGAUUGAAAAUUACCAUCUAUUCAUGACUGCUAUUAUGUUUCUGACCAGAUCUUUUUAUGCUGCAAGAUGUCUUCACCAGUGCAUCACGAGUUCGGAGAAAGACGCAUGCGCUAUGGACCAAAGGGGACAAGGGCGUACGCCCGCAAGCCCUAUUGCGACGCUUGGGGUAACAAGGUACAUGCACUCUUCCUAGACGAAGAGGAGAUGGGGUUUGCGGAGUAGCCGAACACCCACAUCCAGGAGACGACCGUGAGGCGUCGGGUACUGAUGCCCCACUUCCAGCGGGCAGCCGAGUACAGGCGGUUAUACCAGGGUCAGGGGACUUUCCAGUUUGCACCUGAAGUUGAAAUGACACCGCCCACGAGGAGCCGAGGGCGUCCAAGGAAGACAGAGUUAACCAGGGAAGGUCCUGGACCGAUUAGGAUGGAGGACAGUGUACCAACGAGAAAACGUGGACGUCCAAGGAAGAUUCCUAGCAUCAAUGCAGAGAGCCUGAGGAGCAUAACCAGAGUAUGUCGGUGUAUAACACUGAUGCAGGCCAGGCAAGGGCCGCCCUCAGUCCGGGAAUACACAGAGGAAUUCCUGGAGUCAGCCAAAAGAUGCAAGCCCAAGUCAGCAGAUGAUUGGUGCCGGUGGUAUAAGGCAGGACUCCGCGAGGAGAUUGGGGGCAAGCUGAUUGGUGUGUUGGAACCAUGGGAAUUCGCCUUGGUGAACCGGAUGGCCGGUCAUGCAGUGGAGGCCGAACGAGAACUUGCUCGUCGGGUCAUCGCCAUCUCGAGCUCUGAGGAAGACGUGGAAGUGGAAGAGGAUCCAUCGGAGAACUCAGAGUGGGAAGAGGAGCCGGAAGUGGAAGAGGAGCCGGAAGUGGAAGAGGAUCCAUCGGAUGGAUAGAAAGAAUUAAACGUAGGAUCUUAGAGUACUGUUAACCGGUAUUGGUUAGAUGAAUGAUAGGACAUCUGUGAAUGAAUGUUAAAUGGAUUGAGUGUGACACCGAGAACGGGUGGCGUCUAAAAAGAAAAGUAAGAAAGAGUCUAAAGGUUAAGGAAAAAUGAAAUGAUAAGAAAAAGGAAAUAAAGGAAAAAGAAAAGUUAAAUGAAUGAAAUACGAACCACCGAGGGACUGGUGGGGAGUAUGGAAAAUUAAGUGAAUGGAAUACGAACCACCGAGGGACUGGUGGGGAGUAUGGGAAAACGCGGCGGCCGUAGCGUUCAAAAACGGCAGGGUAAGAAUAGAGGCGCCGGUAAGAUUGAGUCACACCGAGUCUUGACGGGAAGGGGUCGUAAUACACUGCAAGGGGUAUAGACUACAUCCAAGGGAACCGGAUGCCGAGUGUACAAGGGCAGGCGACUCCACAGGAACGCAGAAAGAAAAAGGGAGGGUUGGUCCGCUUGAGCUGUGUAGGUCCUAGAGUUCUAGGAUGAUUAGAGUCUUAAAUAAUAAACCGAUUUAUGUGAAUUGAGUGAUGACUGAGUUCAUUACAUUACUUGAUUUCGUGAAAUGAAACUUUAAUAGCUAGUUAAGAAUUGGAUGUAGUGACUAGUCGGUUCUCGUUUCGCAUUGAGCAGUAUAGAGGCUCAUGGGGGAGACUGGUCUAGAAUCGCUUCACUGAGUAUUCAUACUCACCCCUCUUUUUCCCUCUCCCUUUUGGAGAACUAUAAGUGGAAGUGUUGAUGGUAAGAACGGAAACGCACCUGAAGCUCAUGGGACCAGAAACGAGACACACGGAGAUGUCGGAAAAGUAGAUAUGUGUGUCCUCAACCCCGCGCCCAGGAACCCCGGUUGGAAAUGGGGAAGAGACAGGUGUUUCAAUCUAGGUCGUUUUUAUUUUUAUUUUUAUUUUUAUAUUUAAAAUAAAAUAAAUAUUUAUUUAAUAAAAUUAUAACAAAAUCUUUUCUGAAUCAUUUUAAAAAUUAUUUCCAAAAUUUAUUAAUUUAAAUUUUUGUUAUCAUAAAAUAUAAUUAGAAAUUAAAAUUUAAUUUAGUUUUGAUUUAUAAAGAAAAUUUUAAAUUGUAGAAAAUUAAGUUUAUCAAAUGUACAUAACUUCAUUAUAAUAUCUUUUAUGAUCUCUAUUUUUAUUUAAAAUAAAAUAAAUAUUUAUUUAAGAAAAUUAUAGCACAAUAUUUUAAAAAUCUUUCCAGAAUCAUUUUAAAAAUUAUUUCCGAAAAUUUAUUAAUUUAAAUUUUGGUUAUCAUAAAAUAUAAUCAGAAAUUUAAAUUUAAAAUUUAUAAAUGAAAAUUAAAAAUUAUAUAAAAUAUUUUAGAGAUAAUAUCAACUUAAAUUAUUACCUUCCAAAAAAUACAUUUUACAAAUAUUUUAAUUUUUUUUGUUGGAAAUCAAUAUCCAUUUCUAUUUAAUUUUUAAAAUAAAAAUAUCUUAUUUAUUAAACACAUAAAUCAUGACUUAUUACAUGUAUGUUUUUUAAUUUAAACUAUCUCUUAGAGGUCACAACUUAAAUGCUUAUAUUAUGUAACACUAGGCUUGGCCCGGGAUACGCCCGGGUUUUUGUUUAAAUUUUGAUUUUUAUUAAAUAUUUUGUACGUAUGUUUACUUUGAUAUAUAAAUAUUAUAAUAUAUUAUAAAAAUAUAAAUAGCUAAAAAAAUUAUAAAAUCACUUUCAGUUAUUUAUUAUUUAUGUCUUACAAAUUUCAAACAUUUUAAUAUCCAAAUGUCUGAUAUUUUUAUUAUUGGAAAUUAUAUAUAAGGUGAUGAGCAAAAUAUAAAAAAAUUGAUUAAAUUUUAGUUAUUUGUUUGAUUGGUUGGGUUGUAAAAAUGUUUCAUUUCACUUAAUUGUUUUUUAUAAAUUUCGGUUCCAAUUAUUCUCUUAGUAAUUUAAUUGACCCUCACUUUUAAAUAUACAAUCCUUUUAAAAUAUUUUUUUUAUUAAAACACUGGUUUAAAAUUGUAAUAUCUUUCUACAUUAAAAACUUACAACUACGUCACUAAAACCUAAAAUUUACCAACUAAAUUCUUACAACAAAUGUUUUUGCACCUACAUCCCCAACUGUUUAGACCCAUGAUCUAAAUAUUCAUUUAUCUUAAUUAUAUAAAUUUUGAUGCAAAACUUUUUUAUAUGAACAAAUCACACAUAAUUUUAUUUAAGUUAUGAUCUGUAUGGCUGGAAUACUUAUUAACCUGAAGGCUCUAAAGGUGUAAGCCAAAGAUCACUUUUUUUCUUAAAAAUGUUAAAGAAGAGACAUUAUGGCCUGGUCCAUUCACGAAGCGUUAUCUAACAAUAAUAAAAGGAGAAUAAGCUCAAUGUUUAGCUAUGCCACAUAGACAAAUUAAUUCAGACCAAUCACAGUGCUAUAUUAUGCCAUGUCAUCUACUGCAGUGAACCCUAUAGCUUUCGUAGCCGACUGGUCGCCUUAUUUUUGAUCAUUUUCCUAGGAGAAACCCAGCAGCUUUUACCUCUUUACCUUCUCCUCUGUAACAUCAACGAAUCAUAAUCCUGAUCCAUAAAGCUCCAUUAUUUAGUGCAAUCAGUAUAUAAUCUAUCUCUUACCCUCCUAUUUUGCUGAGAAGAAAAUGACCUAGAAUCUAUCUUUUCCAGGUUCUGCCAAUGUCAUCAACUCUAGAUCAAAGAUCAUCGGAGAGGUUAGAAACAUUUGGACCACACACACGUAAUAUAGGCUCGCCUUUGAAAAAAAACGCUUAUAACAAGAAUCGCAUCCUGAGUGAAGUCACAAAGGUUUUGAAUCCGGUGCACCUGAUCCAUCGUUGCCUCCGCAUCUAUGCUGAAGGAGAAGUAAAUACGCCGACAGAGAAGAUGGAGAAAGAUCUGCUUAUUUCUCUAUCGCAGAUUCCUGCCUAACAUCAGUACAACUUCGCAUGGACGUGACGGUUUGACUUAGUGCGUUUGAUGGACUAUCACGGGAACUUCACCAGAAUCUUGAAAGCUUUGGUAUUGAUGGAUACUUAUGUAACCAUCAUUUUCAGGUAGGCUAUUUCUCAAUGCCACAUCUAAGUUAAAUGAUCUAACAUUAACUUUUACUUUGACAAAGAGACGGCUGCAAGCAAUAGUUUAUAUGGCGAGUAAGAAUUUGAGACGCCAAACUUUCUUUAAUAAUUCCAUAGUCCGGUCUCUCUUAUUCACUACAUAAAUCACACAUUGUAGGUAAGGGUCAGUGAUACAGUAACUUCAUUUAAGUACCCUUGUGUCCAGAAGAUUGAAUUUCUAACACUAGGAUCCUUGGUUUAAAAAAGCGCUCGCCUUUGGCGCCAUGGCGCUAGGUGAGGUCUAGCGAUGUCCUCAUCGCCUCAGCACCUCAAGGCGUGGCAACUUACAUAAAGCGAGCGCUUUCUACGCUUUCUUACUAAACCUAAGGCUCCUAAAGCGACGCGUUAUUUGGUUUUAAGUCAAACUGAAUUGGUUUGCCAAAUUUAAACUGCUAAAUUGAGUUAGAUUUGUAACACAUCUUUGGCGUCACAUAAAAGCCCUUUUCAAACCCUAAGUUAGUCUUAUAUACCGUAACUUAAGUUUAAAGUUAGGGUUCCAUGUGCUAUUGUUCUUCUCUCUAUUUCACGGCUUUGAUGUUUGACGUUUCUCCUGAUAUUUUUGUUCACUAGUAAGUACUCUGUUUUGCACUUUGGUUCUAAACUUGUAUUCUAUCUAUACCUAUAUUUUUGCACUAUAUUUUUUGCCUUCACACACAAAGCGCUCGCUUUGUGUCGCCAUGGCGUAAGGCGAGAGGCGAGACACUCAUCGCCUCACCUCGCCAUGCGCCAUUUUAAACCAAGCUAGGAUCUCAGCGCAUAUGUUCUAAACUUCCCACAACAGUUAUUGCAGGUGAUCUAGGCUGUCUGAUUUCAUCCGAGAAUUUGUUUUCAAGUUCCAUCUCUUCAAACAGCCUGCGGUCUCUGCUUCUGUGCCAAGAGCGCUUCUUCUCUGCUUUCCAAGCCUCUUCUUUUCCCUAACAACUGCUUGCUCAAUGCUUUUAGUUCUUUACUUCAUUUCCUGCAAUAGCACAAUUCCAUUGUCUUGGUUGGUACUGCUAUACCCUUUAGGCUCUUCAGAUAUUACCGCUUCUGGAUACUCACCAUCAUGAAGAAAUUGAAAGAGUUUAGCUACUGAGGAAUAUAGAGGUAUAUAUGCAACAUGCUCAUGUUUCACCAAAUGGAAGGCACUAACAAGGUUCAGCAAUAAAAGUUAAUCGCUAGAGGUGACAUGUCAUUUAUAAUGAUACUAAUAUGUUUAUCUAAUUAUCUGUCUACAACAAUCUCCCUUUUCCCACUAACAAUUGGUGUUGCCAUCACUAUGACGUAUACAUACUUUCUAAAUGAAACACAGUGGAAAAUUUUAGUAAUCUCAAGGGGAAAACACUCAAAAAAAGUUUAUGUCCAUAAUUUUAUGAAAAUCAACAAAAGACUUGUGACUCAGAGCUUACUGCCAAACCGGUGAAAAAAACAUGACUUUCUCUUUGCCAGCUAUUAUUUUCUUUGUGGAAACUAAAUAAUUGUCAUUAGAAAUAGUCUAAAAAUAAGAAAAAAAAAACGUUGUUGCAAUCAAGAUUACAUAUGUGUAGCAUCUGCCCACAUAGUUGCUGCAAUAUUUGCUCUCCAAUUAUUAGCAUUCACUCUUUGUUGUUCUUGAGUACCUUGAAAAUUUUCAUCAGCAUUAUUCUCCUCUUCGCCUUCUUCUUCAUCUCUACUUUCUUCAACAACUACUUCUUCAGGAAGAAACAUAUCUGAACGGCAUUCCUUACGAAGAUAGUUGUGUAAAACAACACAUGCAAGUACUAACUCUGCUUGCGUCUUAUACGGAAAUGGUGGUGCACAUUUGAAGAUGAGAAAUCUAGAUUUAAAGAUGCCAAAAAUUCUCUCUAUCACAUUUCUCAAGCUUGAAUGACGAUGGUUGAACAACUCAUUUUGAUUUACCGGAUCUUUUCCUUGUCCUCUAAAAUCUUGAAGAUGAUAACGGGUACUUCAAUAUGGAGCUAGAAAAUUACGACGAUUAGCAUAUCCACAAUCGACCAAAUAAAACUUUCCUGAAAUUUUAGAAUGUAUAUAAAUAUGAGAAAUACGUAAAUUAACAUAAGAUUUUUUAUCAUAAGCAAAAUAUGUACCUUCUGGAACUUUUAGUCGGUUGCUACUUCUUGUUAAAGCAUCUUGUAAUACUUUUGCAUCAUGAGCUGAGCCUUCCCAUCCACUAAGAACAUACAUGAAUUCUAAAUCAAAGUUACAUGCAGCUAAAAUAUUUUGAGAUAGUUGUCCUUUUCUGUUACGAUAACUAGAUGAAUCUUUUCCAGUUAUCAUUGCAAGAAUAUGUGUACCAUCAAUAGCUCCAAUGCAGUCCUAAGAAAAAUAUGAAGUCAGUGUUAAAAUUUAAUUACACCUAAAGAAUACCAAAAAAAAAACUAUUUACCUUAAAGUAAGGAUAAAACCUUGUGCUGUCUCUUAUGUUUGGAGGCACUGUAGUUCCAGGUUUAGCUAUAUAGCUUGAAGCAAGUUCAUUUAAUACCUUGAGAAUUGUAUUAAAUCUCCUACUUAUUGAGAAACGUGACUUCUUGAAUCUAUCUUGAGCUUGAAUAUAUCUUGAAUUUUGACCAACAAUAAACAGAAAUGUGGCCAACAUUUCUUCGACUGAAACGUAUCUUGUAUCUUUUACUCCCAUCCGUUCUCUAAUAAUAGAGCAUAGCUUCAGAAAAACAUCCGGAUACAUACGAUAUAAAUGUCGAAAAUGAGCAGGAUCUUCAACCAAUGCAUUUUGUAUGUAUUCAUGUCCAAGUCUUGUAGUUGAUCUUCUAAUUGGGUGUUGUAUUUGCAAAAUCUGCGAAGUCAAAUACCGGAUCUUUGCGAUGAUGGACAAAACCAGGAUCAUAAUAUCAACAUCUGUUUUAAAAUUUGCCAUCUUCUUUCUUUUCUUCCUAGCUUGUACCUCUUCACUUGCAUACACAACAUGAUUCAUUGUAUAUCCCCCCUACACAAGAAAUCAUUAAAAAUUAUAUAAUUGUAAUUUGGAAAGUAUGAUACAAAAAUCAUUCAUAAACUCACAAGAAAGCAAAGCGGCGGAGAGAACACUCUUCUUUCUCUAGAAGGAUGAGGACAAAUAAAUGUACAUGUAACCCUCACUCCACCCGCCAAAUUUGACCGCCAAAUUAAAACACAACCUUUGUUGGUUUAAGAAAUCCACUUCAUAAAGAAAUCUCUUUUUUUUUUUUGUUAUUUAUUUGCUAGAUUCUUCGGCUGUAUAUGGUAACAACAUAAAGAUAUUGGAACAAAUCAAGCAUAACAAAAUCUAAACAUCUGAAUUGUUGAGAAACAAGAUAGCGAAGAAAUUGAUAAGGUCAAAUAAAAU